rnacentral:rRNA from 1 species
AACGAACGCUGGCGGCAGGCCUAACACAUGCAAGUCGAGCGGACCUUUCGGGGUCAGCGGCGGACGGGUGAGUAACGCGUGGGAAUAUGCCCUUCUCUACGGAAUAGUCCUGGGAAACUGGGGGUAAUACCGUAUACGCCCUUUGGGGGAAAGAUUUAUCGGGGAAGGAUUAGCCCGCGUUGGAUUAGGUAGUUGGUGGGGUAAUGGCCUACCAAGCCGACGAUCCAUAGCUGGUUUGAGAGGAUGAUCAGCCACACUGGGACUGAGACACGGCCCAGACUCCUACGGGAGGCAGCAGUGGGGAAUCUUAGACAAUGGGGGCAACCCUGAUCUAGCCAUGCCGCGUGAGUGAUGAAGGCCUUAGGGUUGUAAAGCUCUUUCAGCUGGGAAGAUAAUGACGGUACCAGCAGAAGAAACCCCGGCUAACUCCGU